GGUAUUCUGAACUGUUCGAUCCACCUCCACUUGCUUCGUACUGCAUUACUGGGUGAACUGUGAAGAACUAAGAAAACCAUUAAUUUUCUUAUUCAAGAGUUCUACCUGAUUAGAGAGCAUGGUGACCGAAUCGAUGUUAUAAACACCUGCUGUUUUCUUUGCCUUUGUCCUCAUGACUUGCCAUUGAUAGUUAUCUAGUGACAUCUCCUCUAUAAAUUCAUAAGCAUCUUCAGG
rnacentral:lncRNA from 1 species